rnacentral:rRNA from 1 species
GACGAACGCUGGCGGCGUGCUUAACACAUGCAAGUCGUGCGGUAAGGCCCUUUCGGGGGUACACGAGCGGCGAACGGGUGAGUAACACGUGAGCAACCUGCCCUUCACUUUGGGAUAACUGCCGGAAACGGUGGCUAAUACCGGAUAUGACUCCCUCACGCAUGUGGGGUGGUGGAAAGCCUUCGGGUGGUGGGGGAUGGGCUCGCGGUCUAUCAGCUUGUUGGUGGGGUGAUGGCCUACCAAGGCUUCGACGGGUAGCCGGCCUGAGAGGGUGACCGGCCACACUGGGACUGAGACACGGCCCAGACUCCUACGGGAGGCAGCAGUGGGGAAUAUUGGACAAUGGGCGAAAGCCUGAUCCAGCAACGCCGCGUGAGGGAUGACGGCCUUCGGGUUGUAAACCUCUUUCGCCUGCGACGAAGCGAGAGUGACGGUAGCAGGUAAAGAAGCACCGGCCAACUACGUG